UAUAAUUCAAUCUCUAUCAAAUUUGUAACUAAACAUAAAUGUAUUGUAUAUUUCUAUUUUAAUUUAUUUUCACAUAAAUAAAAUCAGAAAUUAAUAUUAUUUUACAAAAUUAAUCACUAAAUAACUACCAUUUAUCACUUACAAAUAAAAAAAAUCAGAAUAUUAGAAUCAGCGUGAUGAAGAUUGUAUCAUAGAAGCAAGGAGGUCAAUCUCUUUCUAAUAUAUAAUGUAGUUGGGAUUUCAUGCAAUGCAAUGCAAUGUAGUUGGGAUUUCAUGUUAAUCCGAAUGAAUCAUCUUUUUUCCGGAGCGAAAUCUUUGCCUGCUAGGCAAGAUUAUAGGAUAGCAAGUUACAAAUUCUGUUUUGGUAAGACAUAUAUCCAUUUUUCAUGAUGUUAUGUAUGGAUUAAAUAUAUCAUGCGAAUUUUUCAGAAAAAAUCUGUCUUCCACAAAAGAAUCCGAUAAGUGAGAUUUCGAGUAAGUUUUUACAAAAUCUUCUUUAGUCCAAAGAAAUGAUUCAUCGAAAUAAUGAAUCGUUGAUAUCGACACAUCUGAGAUCACCAAAUGAGGGGCAAAGAGAUUGAUCGAGAAAUAUAUCUUGUUCUUAUUAUAAGAUCAUGUGAUUGGACCCACAUAUUUUUGGUAAAAAGAAUAAUCUUAUCCUUUGAGAAUAAUCAAAAAUAGAAAGUGUUCAAUUGGAACAUGAAAAAGUGACCGAGUUUAUCCUAGUUACUCUUUGGGAAGGGGUGGAAGAAAAGAGGAAAUUUUCGAACGAGGAAAGGGACCCAAUGACUUUGGAAGAAUUGAAUGAGGAUCUGUAUGAGGUGAAAAUCUCAUGUCUGGUUCUGUAGAGUGGCAGUAAGAGUGACUUAUCUGUCAACUUUUCCAGUAUCACCCUCAAAAAAUAAAACUAUGUCUUACGUAAAGUUGCCAGAAUACGAUUAACCUCGGGAUUUGAAAUCACUGCUUAUAUAUCAGGUAUUGGCCAUAAUUUACAAGAACAUUAUGUAGUCUUAGUAAGAGGGGGAAUGGUUAAGGAUUUACCCGGUGUGGGAUAUCACAUUGUUCGAGGAACCCUAGACGCUGUCGGAGUAAAGGAUCAUCAACAAGGGAGUUCUAGUGCGUUGUAGAUUCUUAUCCAAGAAUUUUAUCAUUUCACUACAAAAAAAGUUGACAUUCAUAGCACAAAAUUAUAGCUCGUUUUACUGAACUGCUAUCGUAAAUGAGUUACAAAUCUCCAAAUUCUAUAAUAGCAUUAGAUAAAAGCUAUACAAAUUUUUUAGUAAACUGAAACCUAAAAUUAGGAUUUCCUCUAGAACUCGGUAAAAAUCACAUAUGUUCUCUUUCUUGUCUCUUGUUUCCGCUCUCUUUUUUUGUUCUUUGAUCACAAUUUUCCCUCUCUCUUAUCUCACAUUUUCCCUCUUUCUUUGGAAACCCUAAAAAAAGUCAGUUUGAUUCUACAUCUCGAGACCGUAUCUUUGCAAUUCCCUUUCUUUUCCUAGGGUCUGAGACACGAGAGAUAGAAGAGAAGAGAGACAAACGAAAUGGAGAUAGAGAGGAGACAGAGCUCAGGUGUGUCUUGCUUGUGCUCUAUCGCUUUCUCUUCUUCUCCUCAGCCACAGAACAACGAGAUUGACAAGAGAAGGAUGACCGGAAGCUGUGAACGGAUCCAAGCUCAGUUGGGUCGGAUCGAGGAAGAAACCCGGCGACUUGGUAGGUGGUCAGUUGGCUCGCCGUAGAUAUAGAGUGAGUGUUUGUUAUGGAGUUGAAGACGGCAUCAGAUUUACAGCAAGAGUUUCGGGAGUGGGGAGAGUGGUGAGGCGGAAAUGAGCAGAGGCGGUGAACCUUUCGAAGAGGCUCUGAGGAUGCUGUGGUCCCGAGCUAGGAGGUUCCGCUGCAGGUUCUCUGUGGUGGGUACGAGAGAGGUGGUUUGUUUCUGGUCUUGUCAACCGUCACUCUCCGUCUCGGUGGCGUCUCGUGCUGAGCCAGUUAGCUUUCAGGAGCAUGAUCUAGGGAUGUCUCCUGUCCACUUCUCUGAUGUGGUGCUGGCUUUCUCUGUCUCUUGGUGUAGGUCCAUGGCAUGUGGCGAUCUCGGGUGGUCCUUCUCUCCAAAUAAAGCUCGUUUCUGUCUACGCGUGAACUUGCUCGGGUUUGGUGAGUUUGGUGUAGCCUAAGGUCUUGAUGUUGCUUUGCUUGUAGUUGUUGCUGGCCUUAUUUUGUUUAGAUUGAGUAGUAGAUGUGUUUAGCUUAAUUUCUUGCGUCCUCUGCUCUUUGUAACCUCUGUAUUUCUGUCUAAAACUUGAAAAUGGUAAUAAAGCUUUUACAUUGUUACCAAAAAAAAAGAAAAGUGAGAAAUCCUACUGAAGAUUACAGUGACAUUGGAGGACUGGAGAAGCAGGUAUCUUGGACUGCUGUAUUUGACUGCUCUCCCUCUUCGCAGGUGGAAGCUGUAGGACUCAACUUUAAAAAAAAUUGAAAAACAACAGCAAAAAGAAGAAGCCAUAUAGAUUGAAGGGAAGAAGAAGAAACACGAUUCUGGUGCAGCAGAGCUUUUCAUAGUUUUAAGUUGGCCUAACUUGUUCUCUGAUUUUGUUUAUUAGGUUUGAUGGUUACAUGUUUUCUUUUGAAUUUCAUACUUUCAUGUUUUGACCUUGUAAUUUUUGGAUCUUGAAUGAAAAAGAAUAUACAGUAUUUUAA